GUGCUCGCUUCGGCAGCACAUGUGUAUACUAAAAUUGGAACAAUACAGAAAAGAUUAUCAUGACCCCUGCACAAGGAUGACACUCAAAUUCGUGAAGCAUUCCAUAUUUUU